rnacentral:rRNA from 1 species
AUUGAACGCUGGCGGCAGGCCUAACACAUGCAAGUCGAACGAGUGGCGGACGGGUGAGUAAUGUCUGGGAAACUGCCUGAUGGAGGGGGAUAACUACUGGAAACGGUAGCUAAUACCGCAUACCAUCGGAUGUGCCCAGAUGGGAUUAGCUAGUAGGUGGGGUAAAGGCUCACCUAGGCGACGAUCCCUAGCUGGUCUGGGAGGAUGACCGGCCAAAUGGGAACUGGACCAGGGUCCGGACUCCUACGGGAGGCAGCAGGGGGGAAUAUUGCACAAGGGGGGCAGGCCUGAGGCGGCCAGGCCGCGUGUAUGAAGAAGGCCUUCGGGUUGUAAAGUACUUUCGGCGGGGGGGCGUUACCCGCAGAAGAAGCACCGGCUAACUCCGUGCCAGCAGCCGCGUAAUAC